rnacentral:lncRNA from 1 species
UGUGACCUCACGCGCCGCCGUGAUGUCAUUAGCCGGGUUGUAGAACCCGUAUGGAGACGAUCGAGCAAGGAAGCCGUGAAGGCCGGAGAAAGACUCGUUGUUGUUGUUGUUGUUGCCGGAGUCUUGAGAUGGGGCGGUGAAGGCGGCGGUGGCGAGAGGUAUACCGACAAAUUGUUGUUGUUGUGACGGCGGAGGUGGUGGCGCGUGAGAUAAGUUUAUUGAAUUUCCAAGAGGGUUGGAGUUGAAGAAAACUAUGUUACUGCCGCCGCCGCCUUGCGGUGGCGGUGGUGGCGCGUGGUGAUGUUGUGCUUCAGAAAAUCCAACAUAGCCAGGAUUCAUUAGU